CGAAUGCCGCAAGGCAUGGCGUACUGCUCAGUAACACGUGGACAACCUACCCUGAGGACGGGUAUAAACCCGGGAAACUGGGUAUAAUCCCCGAUAGUCCUCGGCUGCUGGAAUGCACCGAGGACGAAAGCUCCGGCGCCUUAGGAUGGGUCUGCGGCCUAUCAGGUAGUAGUGGGUGUAACGUACCUACUAGCCUACGACGGGUACGGGUUGUGUGAGCAAGAGCCCGGAGUUGGAUUCUGAGACACGAAUCCAGGCCCUACGGGGCGCAGCAGGCGCGAAAACUUUACAAUGCGGGAAACCGUGAUAAGGGAACCUCGAGUGCCUGUAUAUGCAGGCUGUCCAGGUGUCUAAAAAACACCUGAAGAAAGGGCCGGGCAAGACCGGUGCCAGCCGCCGCGGUAAUACCGGCGGCUCGAGUGGUGGCCACUUUUAUUGGGCUUAAAGCGUUCGUAGCUGGGUUGUUAAGUCUCUUGGGAAAUCUGACGGCUCAACCGUCAGGCGUCCAAGGGAUACUGGCAAUCUUGGAACCGGGAGAGGUGAGGGGUACUUCGGGGGUAGGAGUGAAAUCCUGUAAUCCUCGAGGGACCACCUGUGGCGAAGGCGCCUCACCAGAACGGCUUCGACAGUGAGGGACGAAAGCUGGGGGAGCAAACCGGAUUAGAUACCCGGGUAGUCCCAGCCCUAAACGAUGCGCGUUAGGUGUAUCGGUGACCACGAGUCACCGAGGUGCCGAAGGGAAACCGUGAAACGUGCCGCCUGGGAAGUACGGUCGCAAGGCU
rnacentral:rRNA from 1 species